GAGACCUCAUUAACAUGCUACCAACCUGUCAUGAUGUUGCUGCUAAUCGUUGGGCUAAUUUCGUGGCCGUCGAUUUUUACAAGAGGAGCGAGGGAGGAGGAAGUUUCCAAGCGACGGACACCUUAAAUGGGGAGUUACUCUGUGGGUGUAACAACGUACACGCAUGUGUUGUGGGAUCAACUUCAGGAACAUGCAAUUCUGUACAAUAAUGAAUUGAUUUCACUAUCUUUUAAAAUGUAUUUGGACCAUAAUUUUCCAACAAGUGUAUAAUAUACAUUUGGAUGGUAUUGUGCAUUUCAGUCCUAUAUUUGGACUCGACCAACACUAUUUUGAUCGAUCUUCUUACA